CAGCAGCCACGGUAAUACGGAGGAUCCAAGCGUUAUCCGGAAUCAUUGGGUUUAAAGGGUCCGUAGGCGGUCUUGUAAGUCAGUGGUGAAAGCCCAUCGCUCAACGGUGGAACGGCCAUUGAUACUGCAGGACUUGAAUUAUUGGGAAGUAACUAGAAUAUGUAGUGUAGCGGUGAAAUGCUUAGAGAUUACAUGGAAUACCAAUUGCGAAGGCAGGUUACUACCAAUUGAUUGACGCUGAUGGACGAAAGCGUAGGUAGCGAACAGGAUUAGAUACCCCCGUAGUCCCUGUCUCUUAUAC
rnacentral:rRNA from 1 species